AGCCUAGUGGUUAGAGUGUAGAGGCGGCAGGGUAGCCUAGUGGUUAGAGUGUAGAGGCGGCAGGGUAGCCUAGUGGUUAGAGUGUAGAGGCGGCAGGGUAGCCUAGUGGUUAGAGUGUAGAGGCGGCAGGGUAGCCUAGUGGCUAGAGUGUAGAGGCGGCAGGGUAGCCUAGUGGUUAGAGUGUAGAGGCGGCAGGGUAGCCUAGUGGUUAGAGUGUAGAGGCGGCAGGGUAGCCUAGUGGUUAGAGUGUAGAGGCGGCAGCGUAGCCUAGUGGUUAGAGUGUAGAGGCGGCAGGGUAGCCUAGUGGUUAGAGUGUAGAGGCGGCAGGGUAGCCUAGUGGUUAGAGUGUAGUGGCGGCAGGUAGCCUAGUGGUUAGAGCGUUGGACUAGUAACCAAAUCAAAAUCAAAUAAAAUGUAUUUAUAUAGCCCUUCGUACAUCAGCUGA
ensembl:lncRNA